GUCCAUCACUCAGCGGCAGAGUAUCUGCUUUGCAUACAGAAUGUCCCAUGUUCAAGCCCUGGCAUCUGCA